rnacentral:rRNA from 1 species
UACAGAGGUGGCGAGCGUUGUUCGGAUUUACUGGGCGUAAAGGGUGCGUAGGUGGUUUCGUGUGUCGGAUGUGAAAGCCCGUCGCUCAACGACGGAAAUGCAUUCGAAACUGCGGAACUGGAGUGCAGGAGGGGAGAGCGGAAUACUCGGUGUAGCGGUGAAAUGCGUUGAUAUCGAGUAGAACACCGGCGGCGUAGGCGGCUCUCUGGAAUGCAACUGACACUGAGGCACGAAAGCCAGGGGAGCAAACAGG